CCACCCACUAACAACUAGAAAUACUACUAUAUUUCCAAAUUUGAUAAGAAUGAGCGUUACUCAACAUAAGUCUAUAAUAAUAAAGACUACUCAAGACACUAAAAGAAGGACCAUGGAGCGACUCUAAGAGUUCAAAGAAGACCAUGAAAAUAAAUAAAAUCUCCGCCCAUGCGAACAAGUGAGGCUCACCGAGAAGUAUCAAUCUGUGCACUCUAAUUAACGAAAUCCUCGCCUGCGUCAGCUAUUGUCUCUAUAAAACAAAUUUAGCGGGGAAUGAGUCGCUAGCUCAGUGAGUAAUAACACUUAACAACAACCAUUUUUAUUUGGGGACAAUUAAGAAAACAUGCUAGUAUCUCAAACAGAAAAUAACAUAAAAAUGCCCUUUCAGAAACAAUAAAUAAUUUUCAGCCUCAUCAUGCUUUUCUUGUAGUAUAAUGCAAUAAAUAAUUCAGUAAUAAGCUUGGUAACCACUGUAUAAUAUCAAUAUUCAAAUUUGGGAGGUUUUAAUGAACGGAUCAUGUAAUCGGUAUAACUGUGGACUUCUUUGCAAGAAUUCAAAUAUAACGGUAGUCCCUACUCGAGGGAAAUCGCUAACGGUAUGCUAGUUCUACUUUCCCACUAGCGAGGGCUAUAACUGUACUCUAUAAUUGGUAAAUAUAAGGUGCACCAGAUCUAACAAACCCGCCGUUAGCUACGGGAUCUUUCAAAGUCUACUCCCAUUUCUACUUGUCUCUAUAUCCGUAUAUACUCAUAGGAAAAUAUUUUAAAACAAUAUAGGGCAUUUUGGUUCUUAUCAAAUCAUGUAAUUUUAUUUCAGUAAUAGUAUAUUCAAUUAACGGUAGAAUAUAUCUAGUGACAACAAGAAUAUUUAAAACAACGGUAAUCAUCUCAAAUAAUUAUUUCGGUAUCAUAUCGAGUAAAAGACUUGUCCUACAUGCAACUCAAAAUAAUCGGUAACAUAUUCAUAUUAAAAAUCAUGUGUAAAUCACGCAAGUUAUGAAAACACAAAUUGCGGUAAGAUUACUACUCACAGUACUCGUCCCAAAAUACCAACUGCUUCACCUCAAUCAACUCGUACAAAUUCCUCCAAUCAAUCUAUAAUUACAUAAUAUCGAUCUCAUGUUAAUUUCCUUAUUUAGACUAAUUCAUAGCUAAUUUAGAAUACCCAAAUCCUCAUAGUUUCAUAUUUAGCUCUUAAUUCACCGAAUUAUAAUAACUCAACAAAUCCCUCUUAUUCUACUUGAAAUAUCAAGACCCAUUUCAGUAUCCCAUCUCACUGCUACAGUUAACUUGAACCAAUUCAAAAUCUAUUAAAUACAACCUAUACAUAUAAUAUACUCAGUUAAUUCACUGAAAAGUCUCAUGAAUUUCUCCAAAUUUUCUUAACUUUAUCUUUUAAACUCUUAGUUCAAUCCCAACCUCAUAUCUAUUAAGUCCCAUGAGGAAGUUUGUAAAUAAAAUAAUAGUGUUUUCUAAAGAAGGAAGAAUACAUGUAAUUACCUUAUCACUGAGGCGCAAGAAUAUAAAAAAAUUUCAGUUGGGUAUGAGUUUUUCGGUACCAAGACUGCACCAGCAACCUUUCUGAUUUGUAUUGACUAAAGGAUUUCCACCAAAUCCUUUCUCUGCCUUCUUUUCAUUUUACCCGUAUGAGUCCUCCUCUAGGUUUUACGUUUUUUA
rnacentral:lncRNA from 1 species